rnacentral:ribozyme from 1 species
AAUGAAGGGUAUAGGAAGAAAGCCAAAAGAAAAAUAACAAGGAAAGAUCAAAACACUUUUCUGUCUCUUGGUGGCUUUUCCUUCCUUU